rnacentral:rRNA from 1 species
GACGAACGCUGGCGGCGUGCCUAAUACAUGCAAGUAGAACGCUGAAGAGAGGAGCUUGCUCUUCUUGGGUGAGUUGCGAACGGGUGAGUAACGCGUAGGUAACCUGCCUUGUAGCGGGGGAUAACUAUUGGAAACGAUAGCUACUACUGCAUAACAAUGGAUGACACAUGUCGUUUAUUUGAAAGGGGCAAUUGCCCCACUACAAGAUGGACCUGCGUUGUAUUAGCUAGUAGGUGAGGUAAUGGCUAACCUAGGCGACGAUACAUAGCCGACCUGAGAGGGUGAUCGGCCAACAUGGGAAUGAGACAAGGGCCAGACUCCUACGGGAGGCAGCAGGAGGGAAUCUUCGGCAAUGGGGGCAAACCUGACCGAGCAACGACGCGUGAGUGAAGAAGGUUUUCGGAUCGUAAAGCUCUGUUGUAAGUCAAGAAAGGGUGUGAGAGUGGAAAGUUCACGCUGUGACGGUAGCUUACGAGAAAGGGACGGCUAACUACGUG